rnacentral:tRNA from 1 species
GGGCGAUUAGCGCAGCCCGGUUAGCGCACCUCGUUGACAUCGAGGGGGUCACUGGUUCAAAUCCAGUAUCGCCCA